UUAAAUGAGAGUUUGAUCCUGGCUCAGGACGAACGCUGGCGGCGUGCCUAAUACAUGCAAGUAGAACGCUGAAGGAGGAGCUUGCUCUUCUGGAAGAGUUGCGAACGGGUGAGUAACGCGUAGGUAACCUGCCUGGUAGCGGGGGAUAACUAUUGGAAACGAUAGCUAAUACCGCAUAAGAUUGAAAAUCGCAUGAUAAUUGAUUAAAAGAUGCAAUUGCAUCACUACCAGAUGGACCUGCGUUGUAUUAGCUAGUAGGUGAGGUAACGGCUCACCUAGGCGACGAUACAUAGCCGACCUGAGAGGGUGAUCGGCCACACUGGGACUGAGACACGGCCCAGACUCCUACGGGAGGCAGCAGUAGGGAAUCUUCGGCAAUGGGGGCAACCCUGACCGAGCAACGCCGCGUGAGUGAAGAAGGUUUUCGGAUCGUAAAGCUCUGUUGUAAGAGAAGAACGAGUGUGAGAGUGGAAAGUUCACACUGUGACGGUAUCUUACCAGAAAGGGACGGCUAACUACGUGCCAGCAGCCGCGGUAAUACGUAGGUCCCGAGCGUUGUCCGGAUUUAUUGGGCGUAAAGCGAGCGCAGGCGGUUAGAUAAGUCUGAAGUUAAAGGCUGUGGCUUAACCAUAGUACGCUUUGGAAACUGUUUAACUUGAGUGCAGAAGGGGAGAGUGGAAUUCCAUGUGUAGCGGUGAAAUGCGUAGAUAUAUGGAGGAACACCGGUGGCGAAAGCGGCUCUCUGGUCUGUAACUGACGCUGAGGCUCGAAAGCGUGGGGAGCGAACAGGAUUAGAUACCCUGGUAGUCCACGCCGUAAACGAUGAGUGCUAGGUGUUAGGCCCUUUCCGGGGCUUAGUGCCGGAGCUAACGCAUUAAGCACUCCGCCUGGGGAGUACGACCGCAAGGUUGAACUCGAAAGGAAUUGACUGGGGCCCACACAAGCGGUGGAUCAUGUGGUUUUAAUUCAAGCAACGACGAAGACCUUACCAGGGCCUGACCUCCCGAUGCCCGCUCAAAAUGAAAAAGUUUUACUUCCGUAACACCGAUGAAAGGUGGUGCAUGGUUGUCGUCAGCUCGUGUCGUGAGAUGUUGGGUUAAGUCCCGCAACGAGCGCAACCCCUAUUGUUAGUUGCCAUCAUUAAGUUGGGCACUCUAGCGAGACUGCCGGUAAUAAACCGGAGGAAGGUGGGGAUGACGUCAAAUCAUCAUGCCCCUUAUGACCUGGGGCUACACACGUGCUACAAUGGCUGGUACAACGAGUCGCAAGUCGGUGACGACAAGCUAAUCUCUUAAAGCCAGUCUCAGUUCGGAUUGUAGGCUGCAACUCGCCUACAUGAAGUCGGAAUCGCUAGUAAUCGCGGAUCAGCACGCCGCGGUGAAUACGUUCCCGGGCCUUGUACACACCGCCCGUCACACCACGAGAGUUUGUAACACCCGAAGUCGGUGAGGUAACCUUUUAGGAGCCAGCCGCCUAAGGGAUAGAUGAUUGGGGUGAAGUCGUAACAAGGUAGCCGUAUCGGAAGGUGCGGCUGGAUCACCUCCUUU
rfam:Streptococcus sp. oral taxon 056 str. F0418 Noncontiguous_Finished_Chromosome, whole genome shotgun sequence.